rnacentral:rRNA from 1 species
UAGGGAAUCUUCGGCAAUGGGGGCAACCCUGACCGAGCAACGCCGCGGGAGUGAAGAAGGUUUUCGGAUCGUAAAGCUCUGUUGUAAGUCAAGAACGAGUGUGAGAGUGGAAAGUUCACACUGUGACGGUAGCUUACCAGAAAGGGACGGCUAACUACGUGCCAGCAGCCGCGGUAAUACGUAGGUCCCGAGCGUUGUCCGGAUUUAUUGGGCGUAAAGCGAGCGCAGGCGGUUUGAUAAGUCUGAAGUUAAAGGCUGUGGCUCAACCAUAGUUCGCUUUGGAAACUGUCAAACUUGAGUGCAGAAGGGGAGAGUGGAAUUCCAUGUGUAGCGGUGAAAUGCGUAGAUAUAUGGAGGAACACCGGUGGCGAAAGCGGCUCUCUGGUCUGUAACUGACGCUGAGGCUCGAAAGCGUGGGGAGCGAACAGGAUUAGAUACCCUGGUAGUCCACGCCGUAAACGAUGAGUGCUAGGUGUUGGAUCCUUUCCGGGAUUCAGUGCCGCAGCUAACGCAUUAAGCACUCCGCCUGGGGAGUACGACCGCAAGGUUG